GCCAUGGUAAAAGGCUUGAAAGAACUCGAGUUAAAGAAGAAAAAGCUCGAAAGGGACAUAGGGAAGGUUCUCAGGCGGUCAAAGACAAGAAAGAAGAGUCAGAGAGAAGAGUCAGAGACACGAGGCCUCCGUUUCAGUGCUAAGCUCCAUUGGCUCUCAUCUCGCUCCGUUUGCUCGUAGCUCCAUUUCGUCAUCACAGAUUCGAAGGUUACAAGUAGAGGAUUGAAGCAAAGCAAAUCCUACGAAGAGUUGUUUUUUGAGCUAUGCAAAAGCCAAAAUAUCACUCCCCAAGAGCCAAAAAGAGCCCGCUGUUUAUUUUACUAUCCUGUAUAAAAAAGAAAUUAUGUAUAUAGCUAGGUAUGCCAUAAGUCACCUGUGUAAAGAGGAUGAAAUGUAUAAAGAUUGGAUCUGUAUCCGAAAGGACUUGUAUAAGACCAUCUAUUUUUCUAUUCGUUACCUUUGUGUAUAGUUCAUAAGAUCCAUGGCUUCAAGUAAUGGAAUUUCUUUGCCUUGUGCCUA